AUCUUACUUAUUUCUGUAGUUAUCUUCUGUUUUUCACUCUAGCCUAGGCUGACCUGGAAUUCAUGCUAGCCUUGAACUCACAGCGAUCAUCUUACCUCUGCCUCCCUAGUGCUGGGAUUAAAGGCCUGCACCACCAUAACCAGCUCUAAUGUCACUACACCCGGCUUAUCUGCAUCUUUCUUAAACAAAUAUAAGGGCUGGAGAGAUGGCUUCACAGUUAAUGUACUCUUCUGCAAAGCCGAAAGGACCUAGGUUCAGUUCCCCAGGACCCAGCCAAGCAUGGUGCUACGCGGGGAGCGAGAAGCGGUGGAAAGCCCGCCUGGGAUUCAUCCCGCGCCACCUUCCCGACCACGGCGACCCGCCUGGACCAGCUGCUGUCCCUCUCCACGGUGCGGGCCAACCACCUCUUCCUGGGCUGCAGCUACAAUAAAGAUCUUCUAGACAAGGUGAUGCAAAUGGCGGACGGAAUUGAAGGGGAAGGCCUGCCACACUUUACUACCAGAAGUGAACUAAUGAAAAAGCAUCAAAGCUAAGGCAGAAGAUUCAGCGCAUCUCCAUCACUGCCAGCAGGCUUAGACUGGAGGCUGGGGUGAGUGAGGCUGCCCGCAGCAGCUCUUCAGACUGGGCCUGGGCAGCAGAGUGGCUGCCGUGGACAGAGACCCAUCUAAAGGACUUCUCAGGAGGUGUCCGUCCCCCGGCAGCCGUCACUGCACAGUGUGCAUGGAUAUGCAUGUGCUUAUGAACCCUGGGCUCUCAGAUCGCUUCAUCAGCACUGCACAAGCCACACCUACUUUGAAAUGCCUUUUAUGUUGAUGUGGUAAUGACAGAUAAUAAAUUUUAUAGUUUGGAUUUUUCAACAAA